UGUCAUCAGCGUCAUCCGGAUCGCUGCGGGGGUAGGAAUUGGCCCUCAUUUCGGUUUCUGUGAUGGUGCGGAGCGCGCGCGCCCAGGGACUCCUGUUGCCUCCCAGCCAAGGGCUUCUGAUCUCCUCAUCUCACUCUCGCGCGGCCCUGGCUACUACCCGGAGAAGGUGGACCUAAAGCAAAGGAUCCUUUGUUUGGUCUCACUUUGAUGGGAAGAAGGUGGCUUGGGCUGUGAGAGGACGUGAUGAUGUGGCCUGUGAUGCUGGAUUCAUCAUUUGUUGGCAGCCCUUGGUGGGAAGAGGAUGGCUUGGGCUCUGAGAGGAAGUGGAGAUGUGGCCUGUGGUUCUGCUGUUUCUCAUUCUCUUUGUCAUAUCUGCCUGAUUAUCAUAGACAACAUGUGGGAUAUGCUGUUUCAAAAGUUGCCAUUCAAAAAAUUUGAAGUUUAGGAUAUUUCCUUCCUCCAGAAGUACUUUCAUUAACUUGGUAACCGUAAGUCCAGAAUUGCUUAUUUCCAUUUUAGGAGUUAAGAUAUUUGGGGCCAUGCAGAAGCCUUGAGGCUGGGCUGCAGUGGGUCUGAAGAUGGUUUCCUCCAGGUCACCCUUCCUCUGAGGGUCCAGUCCUUCAGGAUCACUCCCCAAAGGGCAGGGAAUUUAUCCCGGUCCCUCCUUUUGGCAGGGCCUGGAAUUCAAUAUCUUCUUGCUUUACUCCAGGAAGCUAUCCAAACCUGCAUGAGUCACUAGGGGAAGUGUCCCAUUCUUGAUCAAAAUACUGCUGACAUCAUCGCCAUACCACUCUAUCACAACUAGGAAGCCAUCAAGUGAGGCUAGGAAACCACCAUAAUCAGUAUCUCACCACAAUAGCCACAGCUCUACUGCUGGCUCUGGAAUCACACUGUGCCUGUAAGCAUCUGUACCCUCAGAGUGGAUGCCACAGGCCCUGCUCUCAACCUUACCAAGCCAGUGACUACAGCCCAGAACCUCUGUUAAUGGUGCAGCAAAGAAACCACAUGUCUUCACAACCAGUGUGGCAUCAGAAAAAACAGAUGCCUGGCCUCUGCUCCAGUUCUGCCACAUUUGAUUGACAGAAUCAAAACACCUCCAGGAGUUAGGUUGCAAAGGAGUCUGGGAAAUGCAGCAUUUAGCUUUUGUGAUUUCUGUGGUAUAGAAGGUAGAAGAAAGAAGAAACUGGAUGUCCUGCUCUUGUUUCCCCUGUCCACCCUUCAGUUGAAAUGCAAUUUUGUUACAGUUUGAAAACCUGCAAAAAUAAUGUAUAUCUUGCUUAUUGACUUUUGAUUAUACUAGGUACAGUAUAUCUAUAUACCUUUACCUGUAUAUCUCCAUACACAGUUACCAAAAAGGCAGCAAGAUCAGUAGUGAUUUGAAGCAUGGGUUCCAGAUUCAGCUGGUGUUCAAAUCUGUGUUUGUAUGUGAUGUGAGUACCUAUGUUUUCUCAACCUCUCUCCCAGAUAUUUUAUUUCCCUAUCUCUAAAGUAAGUGGAAGGACAAUCUACCUUGAAAUAGUGUUGUCAUGCUCAAAUAAAAUAAUACAUGCAAUCA